CCUUCCUUUCGAAAACUCAAAUCCAAAUCUUUUCGAUUUCUUAAGGGUAAAAAAAAAAAAAAAAAGAAAAGAAAAAGGUCUUCAAAAAAAAUGUCAGUUCUAAAAAGAGGGAAAAAAAUAGAAUAAAACAGGUUCUUUUAGUUAGUUUUUCCUAGUACCCUGUAAAAACCUUCUCUUCCUCCUGGGCUUGUUGUUGACCCGAAAAAUUUACCUAGCCCAAAAUUUUUUCAAUUUUAGUGGAAGUUGAAUGACCCAUUCCGGAUAUAUGUGUACGGAUAAGAGUGUACGAUAUGUUCAAGUAAAAAAAAAAAAAAAAAAACGCAUUAUAAUAAAAUAAAUAGGUUGAAUCCGGGUCAAAAUAGGUCAUGAUUUUUUGUGCGGCUGGUCAGUUGCACACGUCCGCCAGUGAAAGUGGUCCGUCCUUGACGCUGUCUCGAAACACCAUGCAGGUGUAAAGGUGUUCAGAGAGUUCUCUCAACAGCUCUCUACAGCUCUCUCCGGCCGCAGACGAAGCUUCUCUCUUACGGCCAUUUCAUUUUCAAGGACUUUUUUUAGGUCUCUCUGUGCACGUCAAACAUAUCCGGCCCGUAAAUUAUCUCAUUCAACCAGAGAAAGUCUGUCACACAACAGCUGCAAAUACUUCUAACUAAUCAGCCAAAAAUUUUGAAUGAAAUCUUCUUCGAUAUUACAAUUAGUCUUAAAGAGGAAGAGAAAAAAAAAAAAGGAUCCAAGGCCAGGGCUACUAUGCAAUAGACAAAUGCAAGAUGACCUCUGGACGAGCCGGAAGCGUCACUGGGAUCCUUUUAUAGACACAAAAGCUCCUCGGGGAAAAAUCUGUAAGAGCUGGUACGAAAUAUUUAAUGGCGGGGUACAAACAAAAAAAUUCCCCUGGCAGGAAGCGGCUCGACGCAGCAGACGUACUUCUUGACUAAUCAUCAAACGUGAUUCUCUGAUCCUGGGUUUGAAAAAAAGAAAGAAAGAAAACAAGUCUACACCCCAUCAUGGCGGAAGAAGGAAGCUGGCAACUUGACAAAAGAGGGCGAUUGGACGAAACGAGCGAGCCACGUGAUCUACACGAGUAUCGAUUAUUAUUAGAAGCCUACAGAAAGUGAAAAUCUGCGAGGAUACACACAGACAAAGGAUUCCCCCCUAAAAAAAAAAUCAUGUGGUUGGGAGGCGAAUUUCGCUGAACAAAGUGAAAACGCUUUCAAAGAAUAAAGCAAACAACUCUCUCGAAUCUUUUCCCUUCUUUUCGUGUAUGUAUAGUGUAUGCCUAAAAGUGGAGAGAAGUUUCGAUUAUUAGGCACAGACUAGCUGAUGCUAGCUUCAAGGCAUUAACACCCCCUUUGCCCGAAAGGAACAGAAAAAUGCAUGAACAUACAAGACGGCAUUUUUCCCCCCAUUUUCUUGCCAACAGCAAUUUUCUCGCCAUCUGUCGGACGCAGACUGAAAUACAUCUUGCCAUCGCCAAUUCAUGUCUGAUAGCCAAGAAACACGAUGUGCAAUAUAUCAGGUAAAAGAGAGCACGUUUUUUGUUUUAUUUUUUGUUAGUAGGGGAAGGAGAAGGAAUGAUUACUCAUCCAACGAUGUCAUCAUCACGUCUUUCGUCUAACCCUACAUUAACGAUUCCAUCGCCAUAAUGUGUUACACGCACGGAUAGUAUAGGCUACCUGCGGGAAGAGACUGCCUUUUUGACCCCAUUCAUCAGUACACUAAAAAAACAAAAUAAGGAUGUAUUUUUCCGUUUGCUGUUGGUUGCAGACGUUGACCUGCAACCUAUUUACGCUGUCGAGUCCAAAGUUUCUUCCAGGUGGAAUGUUAAAAAGGUUUUAUGUGUUUUGUUGAUUUUGCUCAUCGUUUUUCAGCACGAAAUGACUUGGCGCUGUUCUACUAACUUCUUUCAGUCUUUGAUUUCUGGGUCGUUUGAAAUGCAACAGGUCAACAGGUCACAGUGAAAGUACCUCUUUUAUAAUAUCUCCAAAAGAUUUUCAUUCACGAACACUUUUCCGAGACCAUGGAACAGGUUCGGUUGAACUGGAAACACCAGCUUUCUUCUCACGAAUUUCGACAAGACCGUGUCGCUUAUUUGCAUGAUACUUUCACCUCAUAGUGAAACCCACUAUUCCACUAUACAGUUUUUUUUUAUCGUGUUUGCAAAAAGUCAAAUAUCUGUCGGUUGGACAAUUCUAUACGAACAGGAUUUUUCAUUUUGUUUACACUUUUGAUUGACGUUUUUGUCCUCCUCCCAUUAUUAAUUUUUUGAAUUUAGACAUUGCACUUUUCAAACGGCAAUACACCGUUGUUGAAUUUUGUUGGACACGCCACGACGGACCAUUUUGGCUAGCCUUCUAUAACGAUGCCGUUCUGGAAGCAGAACUGGUUGGAUGGCGCCGUCAAACUGCAUGACCGACCACCACCACGUAAACUCUCUGUGUCAUAACUGGCUAUAUCAAGUUAGUGAGUAUGCGAUAAAAACACUUAAUGCUUUCUAUAAUCUUAUCGUGUUGCUUAUAUCCUUGUGAUAAUUCAUACCGACAUAUGGUCUCUGGCUGUUGUGUAGAAAUUGUUUCAAUAGCUUGGUAGACGCGGCCAUACCAUUUAUUUCGUUGCUUCAUGUUCAGCUUGAAUUUAUCUUGAUUUACUUCAUUGCAACAUAACCUUAUGCAACCUUGCCGACAGUUACUCGCUCUAAUUCGAUCAGCGAUGACUAAACACUGAAAAAAAGUCGAAAGUUCCAGCUAUGUACUUACAUUCUAAACAUUUUAAACGUCUUUUGGGCUACUUUUGAAAUGUAUCCAUUAUUUGACACGGAUAUGCUAGGCUACUACGGAUGUACUUGAUGGCUAUAACACUUAACAACACUUACGUUAUAUGCCUCUUUAAUAUGAAGGGACAGAUCAUGUAGGACGCAAUUAAGACGGGUAGCACAGUACACAGCAGUGAAAGAAGUGAAUAGCGGAUUAGACCACAUGACUGAACAAGUAGGCUGGUCUAUUGGUUACAAUGUGCGGCUUCGAUCUUUGAAACGUUUGCAGCAAGAGUUGGCAGCAAAAAUAAGAUGAAAAGUAGAAACUAUUUGUUGAAGUGGCGGACGAUGCACAUUUCACGUUCAAAUCCAGUCCAUCUCGGUGCCAAAAGUCACACCCAACGAUCACGAAGGCAAAAAUCAAAGAACAAACAACUCAACAAGAUACUUUCAGAUAAUUCACUCUCACAUCCUGCCUUCUGUUCUUAGUCGGGGUUUUAAAAAAACUCUAAUUUCCGUUUUAUGACAUAUACAAUAAAGAUGUAUAACACGAUUA
rnacentral:lncRNA from 1 species